AAAACGACCAGAAUAUAAAAAAGGGCAACACAAAGUAAUUUUGCUUCAUAAUAAUGCACCAUCACAUACAGCAAAACCUGUCAAGGAAACAAUUGAAGCGUUCAGUUGGGAAAUACUUUCGCACGCGGCUUACUCACCAGACUUGGCUCCGUCCGAUUACUAUUUAUUUGCAUCGAUGGGACACGCACUUUCUGACCAGCACUUCACUUCUUACGAAAAUGUACGAAAAUGGUUCGAUAACUGGUUUGCCUCAAAAGAGCGACAGUUUUUUUCGCGUGGCAUCCACCAAUUGCCAGACAGUUUCAUAUUUACAUACCUGGUAGUGAGGAUGAAAUCAAUACCAGCAGUAACGAAGAGAUAUCUCAUUUCGAGGCAUUCAGAAAUUUGGAAGCAAGACUGAGGUGGCUUGAGGCUCAUGAUUUAGCUAUUAAAAGAAAUUGGAGUCCAUAUAAUCCGUAUGAUUUCUUUAAUUUCAUUAAAAAGAACGAGAAUUGAACAAUAUUGUCCUUUUGAUUUUGUGUUCUAUGUAUGAAAUUAUCUACAAAUAAAUUGUAUUUAUUGUGCGUGUAUGCCAAGUCGACACGCGUGACAUUGUUGAGCCAUCAGGAACCAAGCUGCCGCGGCUUUUGCUUUUGUCAACAUCGCGUCGAUCACCGAACCCGAUCAGGAUGUGACAGACAGUUUACAACGAGCCGGUCGUCCAUGAAGACGAUAACGUGCUAAUAGCGAGCCUCUACAAUUUUAAAUAUUAAAUCAAUUUGAAUGCUAACCGGUUACCGUUCUGUUAUAUGAAAAUUUUCUUACGUGAACACUUUCGUCCCCAAUUGGUUGAUAUAACGGAGUUGCCGUAUAACUUGUAUAUUUAAAGUAUAUUGUAGUAUAUUAUAUCUUUACAAUUUUAUUCUUUGGAAUAAGGACUAAAUGAACAUACGAACACUGGUCUAUUGGACCUUCCCUACCUUUAAUUUGAAUUGCCAUGUGAAUGUAUGGCAUGUCUUGCGAUGAAACUGCUGUAUUGGAAAAGCAUAAAAAUUAGAGAAAACGAAAACUUAGCUGUUAGACAAAAGAGUUUUAUAUUCGGACUUUAAAAACAAAUUUUAUUUAAGUUUCAAAGGGAUUUUAUUUGAACCUUAAACAGAAACUUGUUACUAGAUUUUUAGCAGAAUUUUCAAAGUCAACUUUAAAGAGACUCAUUCCUGGAUCUUAGGAACUUCAUAAAUUUCCACGAACGUUUCAAAAUUUGUGUUUCGUAACAUUGGAUUCUUAAUCGAAGUUCUCCGUAUAAAUUACUCAGAAUUAA
rnacentral:misc_RNA from 1 species